UACAGAGGGGGCAAGCGUUGUUCGGAAUUACUGGGCGUAAAGGGCGCGUAGGCGGCCAACUAAGUCGAACGUGAAAUCCCUGGGCUCAACCCAGGAACUGCGUCCGAUACUGGUUGGCUUGAAUCCGGGAGAGGGAUGCGGAAUUCCAGGUGUAGCGGUGAAAUGCGUAGAUAUCUGGAGGAACACCGGUGGCGAAGGCGGCAUCCUGGACCGGUAUUGACGCUGAGGCGCGAAAGCCAGGGGAGCAAACGGG
rnacentral:rRNA from 1 species